UCCCCUGACUUGUGUCCAUGAAGCGCCUGGCCCUGGUGGUCAGUCCCCGCCCCCACCGCCAGCCUACCUCCAUUUCUAAUUGGGCCGCAAAGCCGUUUAAUGGUGUCUGCGAGGCUGCAGGCUGCUCGGGGCAGAACAAUGCGCUAUUCAUGUCCAAACAGAACACUAGUGAUCGGGCUAAUAUCUUGAAGCUAAAAAGCAAGGCUUAAUUGCGACAGAUGCUGCAAAUUCCAGUGCAAAAGGCCAGCUCCUAUGUGAUCUAAACCAGGGAGGCACAUCCAGACCUGGAGGAGAGGCCCACGUGUUGCCGAGAGAUGGAAACAUAUUUGCUCUCAUAGCAGUAGAAUUGUUGGCUGUGUGCUCAACAUGACUCAGCUCAACAUGAUUCAGCUGCCCGAGCUUCUGCUCUACACAGACAUGUGGUUGUGAUCUGAAUCCUCUUGGACCAGACAGCUGAGGGCCGUACCCCAGAGGCGAUGAAGACAAAGCAGAAGGAGGCUGGCUCCUCGGAUAAUCUCCUGAAAGGGAGCUGCCAUG